UCAUGGCUCAGGAUGAACGCUGGCGGCGUGCCUAAUACAUGCAAGUCGAGCGAACUGAUUAGAAGCUUGCUUCUAUGACGUUAGCGGCGGACGGGUGAGUAACACGUGGGCAACCUGCCUGUAAGACUGGGAUAACUUCGGGAAACCGAAGCUAAUACCGGAUAGGAUCUUCUCCUUCAUGGGAGAUGAUUGAAAGAUGGUUUCGGCUAUCACUUACAGAUGGGCCCGCGGUGCAUUAGCUAGUUGGUGAGGUAACGGCUCACCAAGGCAACGAUGCAUAGCCGACCUGAGAGGGUGAUCGGCCACACUGGGACUGAGACACGGCCCAGACUCCUACGGGAGGCAGCAGUAGGGAAUCUUCCGCAAUGGACGAAAGUCUGACGGAGCAACGCCGCGUGAGUGAUGAAGGUUUUCGGAUCGUAAAACUCUGUUGUUAGGGAAGAACAAGUACCGUUCGAAUAGGGCAGUACCUUGACGGUACCUAACCAGAAAGCCACGGCUAACUACGUGCCAGCAGCCGCGGUAAUACGUAGGUGGCAAGCGUUGUCCGGAAUUAUU
rnacentral:rRNA from 1 species